GUGAGGAAUAUUGCGCAAUGGAGGCAACUCUGACGCAGCCAUGCCGCGUGCAGGAAGAAGGCGCUACGCGUUGUAAACUGCUUUUAACCGGGAAGAAACCCCAGGACGUGUCCUGGGUUGACGGUACCGGAGGAAUAAGCACCGGCUAACUUCGUGCCAGCAGCCGCGGUAAUACGAAGGGUGCAAGCGUUAUCCGGAUUCAUUGGGUUUAAAGGGUGCGUAGGCGGAGCGUUAAGUCAGUGGUGAAAUCCUGCAGCUUAACUGUAGACUUGCCAUUGAUACUGGCGCUCUUGAGUGCGCUGAAAGUGUGCGGAAUGUGCCGUGUAGCGGUGAAAUGCUUAGAUAUGGCACAGAACACCAAUUGCGAAGGCAGCUCACUAAGGCGAUACUGACGCUGAGGCACGAAAGCGUGGGGAUCGAACAGGAUUAGAUACCCCGGUAGUCC
rnacentral:rRNA from 1 species